GCACAACUAAUAGCCGUAGGAUCUGCUUUUUUUCCCAUGUAAUUUCUUAAUCCAUCGUAUCAUAUCGAUUCUUUCCUCCACGUGGCACUACUGUGACAUGUCUAUAUAAUUUCCCUCCCUACCAAACGCUCAACUGCUAAAAAUGAGAGUUCCUUUCUUGCUGGCUACCUGCUCCACUGUCGCCGUUUUCUUCUCCGAUGAACAAACAACUUCUCCCAAACAUCUUGUUUCCGACACCAGUAGCGUCGCCGAUACUCCUGGCAGUGCCGCUUCUUCUUUAACCACGAGCGACGCUGCCAGUAACUGUGUUAGCCUCCAGAGCAACUUCUCCCUCCAGACGCUUCCCUCUGUCCCUUCCCUUCAAAAGCUAACCUCCGAAACUCUAAACGUUUUCACCUCUUUUAUCUGUACAAAUUCUCCUCAGCCGUGUCCACAGCUCCCAGUCACUUGCCUCGCCGUCCACGGUAACCUCCUCUACGCUGCUUCCUCUCAUGAAAUCAAUGUCGACGAUCGAAGCAGCUGCACGCAUCUCCAUGCGUUCAAUGACCAUGAUUCAUCUUCCGGCUUUGUAAAGUCCGUCUCCUUCUGGGACGGACAAAUCUUCACUGCUCAUCAGGACUCAAGGAUCUGCAUUUGGAAACUGUCUCCGAGUAAAGAGUAUAAGUUGGUAACCGUUCUCCCCACCCUUAACGAUCGUUUACGCCGUUUCAUUUUCCCGAAGAACUACGUUAAAAUCCGGCGUCACAAGAAGCUGCUCUGGAUCGAACACGCCGACGCAGUAACUGGUCUCGCCGUUAACAAUGGUUUAAUCUAUUCGGUUUCUUGGGACAGUUACUUGAAGAUACGGAGAGCAUCUGAUCUCCGGUGUUUAGAGUCUAUCAAAGCACACGAAGACGCAAUUAACGCUGUCGCUGUCUCCGCUGACGGAACUGUUUACACCGGAUCAGCGGAUUGUAAAAUCCGGGUAUGGGGCAAGCCAUUGAACGAGAAGCGGCACGUGCUGAUAGCGACUUUAGAGAAGCACAAAUCGGCAGUAAAUGCAUUGGCUCUGAGCGACGACGGAUCAUUGCUGUUUUCAGGGGCAUGUGAUCGUUCCAUUUUGGUAUGGGAGAGAGAAGAUAGCGCCAAUCACAUGGCGGUGACCGGAGCGUUGAGAGGGCAUGGCAAGGCCAUUCUAAGUUUAAUCAACGUCUCUGAUUUGCUAUUAAGUGGGUCAGCUGAUCGGACGGUGAGGAUUUGGCAGCAAGGCCACGAUGGAAAAUACUGUUGUUUGACCGUUUUGGAGGGACACCAUAAACCGGUGAAGUCAUUAGCCGCGGCAUGGGAAGGAGGAAGUAACGGUGUCGUAUCAGUCUACAGUGGCAGUCUGGACGGAGAAAUUAAGACAUGGCAAGUCUCAGUUUCGAGACCUUGCAGUCCGGUUUCCCCGUAUCAAGUAAUCAAAAAUUAAAAUUUUGAAUAGUAAUAUAGAGGUGAAAAAAAAGAAAGAUUAAAAACAUAUAUGAUUUUUGUAUAUGAUUUAUGUGUGUUUAAUUGUUAAUUAUUUUCAUUAUUGUUAGCUUAAUUGAGUGGGUUAAUUAAUUUGUUUAAAUAAAUUUUGCAAUAUUAGAGAGGAUUAGAUGAUGACAAGGGAGAUUUUGUUUAUGAUUAAAUAUCUUUUGCUUAGCUGGUAAUUAAACCCUCCUUUU
rnacentral:misc_RNA from 1 species